GACGAACGCUGGCGGCGUGCCUAAUACAUGCAAGUUGAGCGCUGAAGGUUGGUACUUGUACCGACUGGAUGAGCAGCGAACGGGUGAGUAACGCGUGGGGAAUCUGCCUUUGAGCGGGGGACAACAUUUGGAAACGAAUGCUAAUACCGCAUAAAAACUUUAAACACAAGGUUUAAGUUUGAAAGAUGCAAUUGCAUCACUCAAAGAUGAUCCCGCGUUGUAUUAGCUAGUUGGUGAGGUAAAGGCUCACCAAGGCGAUGAUACAUAGCCGACCUGAGAGGGUGGUCGGCCACAUUGGGACUGAGACACGGCCCAAACUCCUACGGGAGGCAGCAGUAGGGAAUCUUCGGAAAUGGACGAAAGUCUGACCGAGCAACGCCGCGUGAGUGAAGAAGGUUUUCGGAUCGUAAAACUCUGUUGGUAGAGAAGAACGUUGGUGAGAGUGGAAAGCUCAUCAAGUGACGGUAACUACCCAGAAAGGGACGGCUAACUACGUG
rnacentral:rRNA from 1 species